rnacentral:rRNA from 1 species
GUAGAGCGNUAACACAGGAAGCUUNUUCNUGGGUGACGAGCGGCGGACGGGUGAGUAAUGUCUGGGAAACUGCCUGAUGGAGGGGGAUAACUACUGGAAACGGUAGCUAAUACCGCAUAACGUCGCAAGACCAAAGAGGGGGACCUUCGGGCCUCUUGCCAUCAGAUGUGCCCAGAUGGGAUUAGCUAGUAGGUGGGGUAACGGCUCACCUAGGCGACGAUCCCUAGCUGGUCUGAGAGGAUGACCAGCCACACUGGAACUGAGACACGGUCCAGACUCCUACGGGAGGCAGCAGUGGGGAAUAUUGCACAAUGGGCGCAAGCCUGAUGCAGCCAUGCCGCGUGUAUGAAGAAGGCCUUCGGGUUGUAAAGUACUUUCAGCGGGGAGGAAGGCGAUAAGGUUAAUAACCUUGUCGAUUGACGUUACCCGCAGAAGAAGCACCGGCUAACUCCGUGCCAGCAGCCGCGGUAAUACGGAGGGUGCAAGCGUUAAUCGGAAUUACUGGGCGUAAAGCGCACGCAGGCGGUCUGUCAAGUCGGAUGUGAAAUCCCCGGGCUCAACCUGGGAACUGCAUUCGAAACUGGCAGGCUAGAGUCUUGUAGAGGGGGGUAGAAUUCCAGGUGUAGCGGUGAAAUGCGUAGAGAUCUGGAGGAAUACCGGUGGCGAAGGCGGCCCCC